AAAAGGUACUUCAUUUUUGGUAAAAGUAAUAGAUAAUUUUUUUUUUCGCUAAAUAUUCCACAGAUCGAUGUAACUCGUCAAGCAGAAUCCGAGAAGAAAAGUGACCGGGGGUGCUGUUUGCUUACAAUCCGACCCUGCUUCGUGUACAAAUGCAAUGCCAUUUCGGCAGGGCUAUAGGCUACGAAACCUUUCGAACUCGAAAAGGCGCUACUAAUUUUGAAUAGGUACUUAAUAUUGGGUAAAAGUAAUAGAUAAGAUUGUUUUACAUUAAAUAUUUGACAGAUCGAUGUAACUCGUCAAGCGGAAUCCGAGAAGAAAAAUGACGGAUGUGCUGUUUGCUGAUAGUCCAGAACGGCUUCGUGUACAAAUGCAUGGCGGGGAGACCAGAAAGUUUUCGAAACUGCGUGAGUGGAAGUCUGCGUUGGACAAAUUUUGAAAAUAUCUGAAGGUUUAACGAAUUUUGGAGAAUUCGACAGAGCUACAGACUACGAAACCUUUCGAAACGAACACACGUGUCCUGUUGAACUUGAAAAAAGACGAAAUUAUUUUUAAAAAGAUCAUGGUAACUCGUGAAGCAACAUCUCAGAAUUGAAUCGGGGAACGAGGAAUCAAAAAAAGGUUAACAAUUUGGAUCAUUUUGGAAGAUACAUACGCCGCGCUUUUCAAAGCGGACAGACGUGCCCUUGUCCAACUGAAACGAACACACGUGUCCUGUUGAACUUGAAAAAAGACGAAAUUAUUUUAAAAAGGUAUAUUGUUGCUAAAUAAUAGAUUUUUUUUUAAUUAAAAUAUUUGACAGAUCAUGGUAACUCGUGAAGCAACAUCUCAGAAUUGAAUCGGGGAGUUGUGUAUUUGCUGGCAAUCCGGGCCUGCUUGGAUCAUUUUGGAAGAUACAUACGCCUGCGCUUUUCAAAGCGGACAGACGUGCCCGUGUCCCACUUGACAAAGGCGGAAUUAUUUUAGGAAAGACCAUGGCAACUAGUAAAGCAGAAUCCGAGAAUUCAAUCGGCGGCUGUAUGUUGACUGACAAGAAUAUAAUUGCUGUUAAUCCGGCCCUGCUUCUUGUACAAAUGCAUAGUGGGGAGACAUGAACAUUUUUCGAAAUUGCGGCCCUAUCCUCUUGGGAUUCUACGUUGGACAAAUUCUGAAAACGACCCAGAAAUAUAAUUGGAGGUUCAAACCCGUGCGAGGUGAGGUUUGAUAUAUGAAACAGACCAGUCAUGGGGACACGAGAUAUGGAAAGUUUCAGCGUAGUCGUCGCCACAUUGCUGCCAACACUGCAUAUAUAAGGAAUCACGAAC